UUUUCGUAUCGACUUUUUAUGGGCGCUUUUAAUGCCAACUCAGAAAAUACAAUGCUGAGCAAUAUGAGUAAUGCAUCCUUGCAUAGGAAGCAUGUCACAGAUAUCCAUGAGAGGGGCAAGGCCAGAGAGAACGUUUACUUUCGGAAAAGACAAUACGAUCAAUUACAAAAAUUAAAGAAAAUAAAUGAGGAACAAAAGGCGAAAAUUAAUGAGAAAAUUGAUAAGUUAUAUGAAGAGAUUGAGGAGAUCUCGACAGAAAUUGAGAAAAUGAAGGAUGACAAGUGAAUGGAAGUUCGACUCAAGCCUAACUAGACUUUUUUUUUUUAAAUUAGUAUGCUGCCUGUGUGCAAGGCGCUUGAGUCCGUUCGGUUUGUCAAACCGAUCUUUGAUGCAAUUCCACAGGGCUCGAUUUUUAUCAUGUCUCGUCAUUAUACAAAGGAGAUUUAUGAGAGAGCCCGUGCCGUAGAGAAUGCGCAUUUCUUGAAAAUUCAAAAUGAGCAGCUCAGAAAUCUGCGGAACAAAAUUGCUAGAGAGAGAGGCCUAAGGGAGCACAAAGUGGAAACCAGUGUGCAAAUAACGAGCCAAAAGGCGGAGAGCAACCGGAAUUUGCAUCAGACUCAGAGUGUGAUAACCCAGCAAGCAGACAAUUGAAAUGAUGUUUUUGUGAUCACUUAGUAAAAUGAUUGUGGAAA